AUUGAACGCUGGCGGCAGGCCUAACACAUGCAAGUCGAGCGGAUGAAGGGAGCUUGCUCCUGGAAUCAGCGGCGGACGGGUGAGUAAUGCCUAGGAAUCUGCCUGGUAGUGGGGGAUAACGUCCGGAAACGGGCGCUAAUACCGCAUACGUCCUGAGGGAGAAAGUGGGGGAUCUUCGGACCUCACGCUAUCAGAUGAGCCUAGGUCGGAUUAGCUAGUUGGUGGGGUAAAGGCCUACCAAGGCGACGAUCCGUAACUGGUCUGAGAGGAUGAUCAGUCACACUGGAACUGAGACACGGUCCAGACUCCUACGGGAGGCAGCAGUGGGGAAUAUUGGACAAUGGGCGAAAGCCUGAUCCAGCCAUGCCGCGUGUGUGAAGAAGGUCUUCGGAUUGUAAAGCACUUUAAGUUGGGAGGAAGGGCAGUAAGUGAAUACCUUGCUGUUUUGACGUUACCAACAGAAUAAGCACCGGCUAACUUCGUG
rnacentral:rRNA from 1 species